rnacentral:rRNA from 1 species
AUAUCAGUCAUGCAUAGCAUAUCAAUAAGCGGAGGAAAAGAAACUAACUAGGAUUCCCUAGUAACGGCGAGUGAAGCGGGAAGAGCUCAAAUUUGAAAUCUUAAAGGUUUUCCCUUGACGAAUUGUAGUUUAAAGAAGUGUUUUCUGUUAAGUUUUGGUAAAAGUUCUUUGGAAUAGGACAUCAUAGAGGGUGAGAAUCCCGUAUUUGACCAUUAUUUUCAGCUGUGUGAUACACUUUCAAAGAGUCGGAUUGUUUGGGAAUGCAGUCCAAAAUGGGUGGUAAAUUUCAUCUAAAGCUAAAUAUUGGCGAGAGACCGAUAGCGAACAAGCACCGUGAGGGAAAGAUGAAAAGAACUUUGAAAAGAGAGUUAAACAGUACGUGAAAUUGUCAAAAGGGAAGCGUUUGACACCAGUGUUGUUUUCUCGAAAAUCAAUUAAAAAAAGUUGGAUUUUGUGUUGUAUUGACCUUAACAGCUUUCUGCACUCUUUUCCUGCUUUUUUUAAUGCACUUUUCGUUUAACAAGUCAACAUCAGUUUCUUUUGUUGUAAAAGGGUCAUUGGAAGGUGGCUUUCUUUUCGGAGAAAGUGUUUAUAGCCUUUGCUCUCUGCAAUCGGAGAGACUGAGGUCUGCAGCGUAGCUCUUCGGGGUUAGAUACAUUUGUGCUAAGUUAUAACUUUUAUAGACAACUUGUUGACUAUAGUUUAGUCAUUGUAGCUUACUCGCUUAUGCUAUUUUACCUACGCUUAGGAUGUUGAAGAUGUAGCACAUCAU